AUUGAACGCUGGCGGCAGGCCUAACACAUGCAAGUCGAGCGGAUGAAGGGAGCUUGCUCCUGGAUUCAGCGGCGGACGGGUGAGUAAUGCCUAGGAAUCUGCCUGGUAGUGGGGUAUAACGUCCUGAAACGGGCGCUAAUACCGCAUACGUCCUUAGGGAGAAAGUGUGGGAUCUUCGGACCUCACGCUAUCAGAUGAGCCUAGGUCGGAUUAUCUAGUUGGUGGGGUAAAGGCCUACCAAGGCGACGAUCCGUAACUGGUCUGAGAGGAUGAUCAGUCACACUGGAACGAAGACACGGUCCAGAAUCCUACGGGAGGCAGCAGUGGGGAAGAUUGGAGAAUGGGCGAAAGCCUGAUCCAGCCAUGACGCGUGUGUGAAGAAGGUCUUCGGAUUGUAAAGCACUUUAAGUUGGGAGGAAGGGCAGUAAGUUAAUACCUUGCUGUUUUGACGUUACCAACAGAAUAAGCACCGGCUAACUUCGUG
rnacentral:rRNA from 1 species